GACGAACGCUGGCGGCGUGCCUAAUACAUGCAAGUCGAACGCAGUGGGGACGGGUGAGUAACACGUGGGUAACCUCCCAUCAGAGGGGAUAACACUUGGAAACAGGUGCUAAACCGAUACUGAUGGAUGGACCCGCGGUGCAUUAGCUAGUUGGUGAGGUAACGGCUCACAAAGGCCACGAUGCAUAGACGGCCUAGGAGGGGGAUCGGCCACACUGGGACUGGGGCACGGCCCAGACUCCCACGGGAGGCAGCAGUAGGGAAUCUUCGGCAAUGGACGAAAGUCUGACCGAGCAACGCCGCGUGAGUGAAGAAGGUUUUCGGGUCGUAAAACUCUGUUGUUGGGGAAGCGGUAUCUAAACAGAAAGCCACGGCUAACUACGUGCCAGCAGCCGCGGUAAUAC
rnacentral:rRNA from 1 species